rnacentral:rRNA from 1 species
CGGCUCAGUUAACACGUAGUCAACCUGCCCUGGAGACAUGGACAACCCCGGGAAACUGGGAUUAAUCCGUGAUAGGUCAUCUCAUCUGGAAGGAGAGAUGGCUUAAAGGGGUACACGGGCUUCUUCUGUGAAUUCGCUCCAGGAUGGGACUGCGUCCGAUCAGGCUGUUGGCGGGGUAAUGGCCCACCAAACCUGUAACCGGUACGGGCCUUGAGAGAGGUGGCCCGGAGAUGGACACUGAGAGAAGGGUCCAGGUCCUACGGGGCGCAGCAGGCGCGAAACCUUCGCAAUGCGCGAAAGCGUGACGAGGUUAAUCCGAGUGGCCCCCGCUGAGGGGGUCUUUUGUCAGCUGUAAAUAGGCAGGCGAAUAAGGGGAGGGCAAGCCUGGUGUCAGCCGCCGCGGUAAUACCAGCUCCUCGAGUGGUCGGGGCGAUUAUUGGGCCUAAAGCAUCCGUAGCCGGUUCCGUAGGUCCUCUGUUAAAUCCAACCGCUUAACGGUUGACCUGCAGAGGAUACCGCGGGACUAGGAGGCGGGAGAGGCGGACGGUACUCCGCGUGUAGGGGUAAAAUCCUUUGAUCCGCGGAAGACCACCAGUGGCGAAGGCGGUCCGCCAGAACGCGCUCGACGGUGAGGGAUGAAA